rnacentral:piRNA from 1 species
UGACUUUGAAAUAGGUUUGAUGGCUGCA